CUCCUCUUAGGAUUGCACCUGGAGAGUUUCCAGUACUUCACCAGUCUUGGCUACAGGAAGGAGAGUGAAGCAGAGGCAUAUCCAUUCCAUUCCUAGCUUGGGCAGUGGCUAGAGAGUGGAAGACAAUCUGCUAAAAAU